rnacentral:lncRNA from 1 species
CCGCAUGGUACAUGAUUUGAGGGCAAUUAAUGCUGUAACUGAACUCAUUGCCCCUAAUGUUCCCAACCCACACACCUUGUUGGCACAAAUACCACCUUCCUCUAAGGUAUUUACUGUUAUUGACUUGGCAAAUGCAUUUUUCAGUGUCCCCCUCGCUCCCGACAGUCAGUUUUUAUUUACAUUUACACAUAAACACAAGCAGUACACUUGGACAGUAUUGCCACAGGGUGCACAAAACUCACCCACUAUGUACAGCAUGGCUAUGGCCCAGAUUCUUGAAGAGUGGAAAAGGCCAAAUAAUGUAAUUUUAUUACAGUAUAUCGACGACUUACUCCUAUGUUGCGAUAAUAUGGAAUCUUGUAUUGUAAACACUCUUUCCUUGCUGAAGUUCCUGGAAAAAGCAGGCUGUAAAGCGACAAAAACAAAACUGCAAGCAUGUGUAGAGAAGGUUAUUUUCCUAGGACAUUGCAUUUCCCAGGGCAUAAAACAUCUCACGGAAAGUAGAAAGACUGCAGUUCAAAAUAUUAGACCCCCCUGCAGUUUAGCCCAGGUUCGUACUUUACUCGGUUUGAUUUCUUACAGCUGUCCUUGGCGGCGUUCCGUAGCUAUCUACAUGCAACCACUGUAUGAUUGUCUUGCCAACGAAAACAAACCAUUUAAAUUAACCCAUGCGGCAGAAAAUGCCUUCUAUACCCUUAAGUUACUGGUAACGUCAGCUCCGGCACUGGGUCUCCCAGUUUACAGAAAGAAUUUACAUCUUUCGUUACACAGAGGAUCAUGGUGGUAAACAAAGACCAAUAGCAUUCUACUCCACCAGAUUGGACCCUGUUGCCAGGGGUGCCCCCUCAUGCGUUAGGGCAGUGGCGGCUGUUACUGCCCUCCUGGACAAAGCCACUGAUAUUGUUUUAGAUAAUCUGGUGACCAUAUACACACCGCGUGAUAUCAACAGCAUACUCUCACAAGUUCAACCAAAACACAUACAUACUGCAAGGCAUCUCAGAAUGCAAUGUGCCUUGCUUAUGCCACCUAAUGUUACUCUUAAAAGGUGUAUGGUGUUAAAUCCAUCCAUAUUGCUUCCCCUGGAUUUAAAAGAGGGGAGUGGGGAUAGUGUGAAUGGUACUUGUACUUCUGAUCUUUUUGUAAAUUCACUUUCACCAGAUGAGUUAGCUGAUGCCCAGGUACCCCAUGAUUGUGCAGCACUAAUGGCACAAGAGACAGCAGGUUUUUUGCAUGUAAUUGAUUCUCCAUUAUCUAAUGCAGAUUUUGAGUUUUUUGUAGAUGGUUCCAGAUAUGCUGAUGAGAAGGGUAAUUUCCACACUGGAUAUGCUGUAGUCUCUGCACAUGAGGUAAUAAAAGCUGAACCACUCGCUCCUCACUGCUCUGCACAGGAGGCAGAGCUGAAGGCACUCACUGAAGCGUGUAAAAUGGCUUCUGGUAAGACUGCUAAUAUUUAUACAGACUCUCGCUAUGCUUUUGGUAUAGCCCAUCAUUUUGGCCCUAUAAGGCGGGCUCAUGAUUUUCUCACCUCAGCAGGAACUCCAAUCAAGAAUUCUGAAGCCGUGAGUGCACUUAUGAAUGCUAUCCUGCUACCCACUCAAGUAGGCAUCAUCAAGGUGGCAGCUCACGUGAAGAUCACAGAUGAAAUCUCAAGAGGAAACCACAAAGCAGACGAAGCUGCCAAGCAAGCAGCAAUCCAAGUUCAUCCCUCUACAGGUAAUACCUUCCUACAAGUUGUUCUUACAGAUGACGCCAUUGACUACAAUAUACUGUUGAGUUUACAAAGACAGGCAAGCAAGGAAGAACAUGAUCUCUGGAGGAAACAAGAUGCAGAACCUGAUGAUGACAGAAUGUGGAGGAAAGGUAAAAGACUGUGUUUACCACGAGUGUUGUACCCCAUGAUGGCCCAGAUUGCCCUACACAUCUAUCCAAGAUGCACAUGAACAGCAUAGUAAACACCCAUUGGGUAGCACCCGGAUUUACUGUUGUAGCAGCUAAACACACCCAAGCUUGCAUGAUUUGUGCUAGAAACAAUCCAGGAUAGGCUGUAAAAACACCAAGUAAGCACACACCAAGGCCACUUUACCCGUUUCAAAGACUGCAGAUAGACUAUAUUAAACUACCUAAAGUAGGAGUGCAUGAAUAUGUGUUGGUGUGCAUUGAUCUCUUUUCAGGUUGGCCUGAGGCCUACCCAGUGUCGAAAGCCACAACGAAGGUCACAGCAAGUAAGCUUCUGAAGGAACUGGUAUGUAGAUAUGGAGUACCUGAAGUGAUUGAAAGUGACAGAGGUAGCCAUUUCACUGGGGAAAUAAUGCAAGAAAUUAUGAAAGCCUUAGGGAUCAGUCAGGCCUUCCACACCCCCUAUCACCCCCAGAGUAGUGGGAAAGUAGAAAGGGCAAAUGGCACCUUAAAGAACAAGAUUGCAAAAGCCAUGCAAGACACAGGGAAGCCCUGGACUGAAUGCCUUCCCCCAGCACUCUUUUCUAUGAGAUUCACCCCCAAUUCCAGACAUGGCCUAUCCCGUUUUGAGAUCCUGUUUGGAUGUGCCCCAAAGACAGGCCUCUAUUUUCUCCAAACCUUCCAGAUGCAGCAUGGUAGUAUGACUGCCUAUGUUCAGGCCCUACACCAAAGAUUAGGCAGGGUGCAUAAACAAGUCUUUGAUUCUAUUCCAGAUCCAGACUCUGAUUCUGCAACUCACAAACUGCAACCUGGUGAUUGGGUGUUGAUAAAGAGGCAUGUGAAGAAAGGACUUGAACCACGCUUUGAUGGUCCAUUCCAAGUGCUCUUGACUACGGCUACCUCAGUGAAACUAGAAGGAAAAGCCAUGUGGAUACACGCCAGUCACUGUAAACAAGUCACUCUGACUGAUCCACCAACAUGAAGCUGUUCUUAUCCUUUACCAUUUUAUACUGUGUUCGGAUAUGCUACUCUGACUUGAGACCAGAAAAUAAUAAUGCAUGGCAGGAAAAUAUAUGGUUGCAGAGAGCAAAGGCUUUUAAUUUAACCUCCUUUUGCCUCAACCCUCUCCUCAGUACUGAAAAUGCCAUAGAAUCUUGUCUUAUAGCUGUCCCUACCCCCAUCUCACAGUUGAGGAAGUACCUACAUACCCAUAGACCCGAUAAAUCUCUACAAUUAUAUUCUUAUGCCUUCAACCCACUGGUAGGCAAGCCUCCUCUAGCCCUGAAGACAAUUAAUGUGACAGGCGCUGAACUAUGUUGGUCUUUUUCAUGUAAUUGUUCAAGAGACCCUAAUACUGAAUCCCUGUUUUGCCCCACAUGGUGGAAAAAUACCACAAGUUGUAGAGCCCUGAGCACCACUAUGAAUUGUACCAAAACUCACCAAGUUAUGAGUUACCACUACAAUGUCUAUCUUCCUAAAGGAUGGACUUUCUCCUGUGGAAAUAUUACUUAUGCUUAUGUCCAGGUAACAUUACAGGAGGUUCCUGUGCAAUCUCUCGCCUAACCAUGACCAUGUUUUCCAAAUCUGACCUUAUCACUAAAACCACCCAGCUACACAAACUGCUGAGAGACAGGAGAGAUGUUAAAAACAUGACUUAGUACAGGAUAUCAAACAGGAUACUGGCUUCUUUGGGGAUUGGGAUUGGACAUUUGGGCAAGGAACAUGGUUAACUUUACUAAUUAAGAAGAUUUUGUACUUUUUGCUAUUAGCUGUAUUUGUCAUUAUGGCUAUUUUUCUAACCUUUAGAUUUUUUUCAUGUCUACUAACCUCUCUAUGUAAAAGCAAACCUACUGUUGGUCGUACCUUAACUUACAUUCCAGCUCCGACUUCGAAAAGGUUUUAUGAUGUUACCUCGCCUAACAAAUGAAGGAACUCUCCUCUGCUGAUUCUGGUGGUCUCUCAGUCCAAGGGAACCGUGGUGAAGCAAUAAAUGAAAGUCCCACAGGCUUUGGCUAGCAGGCCUGGAUAUACCUUGGACAUUUGGGUGACCCUUGGAUCAAAAGAGGGGAUUGUGAUAGAAUUUAUCUUGAUUCCAAGGCUCAAGCUUAUAGGUGUCAUAUAAUGAUAUCCUAUAUUAAAAUUGGCUAACUUGGACUCAGGAAAUGCUUGAUGCUUAAACAACACUUAAGACCAUAUAUGUCUAAGUUCCGGGAGUAGAGAGCCCCCACCUAAGAUGUCUCUGCUCUAAUCAUUUUGUUCUCUCUUGCCUUGAAACUUAUUUGUUAUGUGUACAUGAUGCUCAUCCCUAUGUCUUAUCUGUACACUCUUCCUAUUACUGUUCUAAGAAUAUUUGCACGUAAGCACUUACUUUUUAAUGUAUAAAACCCAGCUGAUGAAUAAAACGUCAGAGGCUUAUUUUGAAUACCAA